UGAGGAAGGAUGUGAUGCUGCAUAUGUCAGUCAAUGGUCAUGUGGCAACGCCGCCAUGCUGCUGUACCAGAAGUUAAGUUUGACAGCCCUAGUUUAAAUUGAAUACUGAGUGUCUGUGCAGCACAACAUGGUUAUCAUCUAACAAGUUAACUUCUCGGCUUCAACAGGCUCAGUCAGCUUUCAGUGUGCACAUUUCAGAAUUUGCAUAUUUCAUUAGCCCGUGUUUGAUGUUAAACAAUGUGCAUCAUGCAAUAGCAAAGCUCAGUACACAGCUGUUGCAGCGUCUAUGUGUUUGUAUGAAUGUCUGUUUAUUUAUUUAUUUUACAUAAUAGAUUUUUUUUUGUGACUUGCUAUUUCUCAAAAACCUUUUUGCGAGAUUUGCCUUGACGAAGUACGAAUUACAAUUAUUUUCACAGAGCCAUUAUGUCCACAAGGAGGAGGAGGAAAAAGCCUAUAGACGAUGCAAAGACAUACAUUCUGUCUUGCACUGACAAGGAUGGGUUUAUGCCGAGAUUCAUUGACCGUUACAAAGGAAGAGGAGUGUUUGCAACACACCCCAUUAAACCCGGGGACUUCGUGUUGGAGUACAGGGGUAAACUCCUCACACAGGAGGAAUGCAAGUCAAGAAAAUACUCAGAGAUUGAAAGCACAUUUCUCUUUGACUUUCAGUGGCAGAAUCAUCACUUAUGCCUGGAUGCAUCUGAAGAAGAUGGAUCUCUCGGAAGAUUGUUCAAUGACAACCACAAAAAUCCAAAUUGCAUUAUGAAAAAAAAAUCAUAGUUGACAACAAACCACAUUUGUGCCUUUUUUCUCUGAAGAAAAUAGAAAUAGGAGAUUAAAUUGAUUACAACUAUGGUGAUUCAAAAUGGCCUUGGCGCAGUAAGUUGAAAAAAACCCAAGCUCCAGCCGCAGCAGAAGAGAAUGAGACCAGCCCUGUUCCUCAGACGCUUAAUGAUGGACCAAACCCAGAUCAGACCUGCACACAGGUAAAAGUAC